UACGGAGGGCGCAAGCGUUGUUCGGAAUCACUGGGCGUAAAGCGCGUGUAGGCGGCUUGGUAAGUCGGGUGUGAAAGCCCGGAGCUCAACUCCGGAACUGCAUUCGAAACUACCUCGCUCUAGUCCCGGAGAGGGUGGUGGAAUUCCCGGUGUAGAGGUGAAAUUCGUAGAGAUCGGGAGGAACACCAGUGGCGAAGGCGGCCACCUGGACGGUGACUGACGAUGAGACGCGAAAGAGUGGGGAUCAAACAGG
rnacentral:rRNA from 1 species